rnacentral:rRNA from 1 species
UACGGAGGGUGCAAGCGUUAUCCGGAUUCACUGGGUUUAAAGGGUGCGUAGGCGGGUUGGUAAGUCCGUGGGGAAAUCUCCGAGCUUAACUCGGAAACUGCCGUGGAUACUAUCAAUCUUGAAUAUCGUGGAGGUAAGCGGAAUAUGUCAUGUAGCGGUGAAAUGCUUAGAUAUGACAUAGAACACCAAUUGCGUAGGCAGCUUACUACACGAUCAUUGACGCUGAGGCACGAAAGCGUGGGGAGCAAACAGG